CCUACGGGUGGCUGCAGUGGGGAAUAUUGCACAAUGGGCGCAAGCCUGAUGCAGCCAUGCCGCGUGUGUGAAGAAGGCCUUCGAGUUGUAAAGCACUUUCAGCGGGGAGGAAGGCGUUAAGGUUAAUAACCUUGUCGAUUGACGUUACCCGCAGAAGAAGCACCGGCUAACUCCGUGCCAGCAGCCGCGGUAAUACGGAGGGUGCAAGCGUUAAUCGGAAUUACUGGGCGUAAAGCGCACGCAGGCGGUCUGUCAAGUCGGAUGUGAAAUCCCCGGGCUCAACCUGGGAACUGCAUUCGAAACUGGCAGGCUAGAGUCUUGUAGAGGGGGGUAGAAUUCCAGGUGUAGCGGUGAAAUGCGUAGAGAUCUGGAGGAAUACCGGUGGCGAAGGCGGCCCCCUGGACAAAGACUGACGCUCAGGUGCGAAAGCGUGGGGAGCAAACAGGAUUAGAUACCCUUGUAGUC
rnacentral:rRNA from 1 species